rnacentral:rRNA from 1 species
GUGGGGAAUCUUGCACAAUGGGGGCAACCCUGAUGCAGCGACGCCGCGUGAGCGAUGAAGCCCUUCGGGGCGUAAAGCUCUUUCGACCGGAACGAUAAUGACGGUACCGGGAGAAGAAGCUGCGGCUAACUACGUGCCAGCAGCCGCGGUAAUACGUAGGCAGCAAGCGUUGUUCGGAGUUACUGGGCGUAAAGAGUGCGUAGGCGGUUUUCUAAGUUCGGUGUGAAAUCUCCCGGCUUAACUGGGAGGGUGCGCCGAAGACUGGGAAGCUGGAGUGUGGGAAAGGCAGGCGGAAUUCCUGGUGUAGCGGUGAAAUGCGUAGAUAUCAGGAGGAACACCGGCGGUGUAGACGGCUUGCUAGACCAUAACUGGCGCUGAGGCACGAAAGCGUGGGUAGCAAACA